rnacentral:rRNA from 1 species
GUCUAUGGCCAUGCCAACCUGAACAAGCCCAAUGUCUGAUCUCGGAAGCUAAGCGGGGUUGGGCCUGGUUAAUACUUGGAUGGAAGACCACCUAGGAAGACCAGGUGUUGUAGGCA